rnacentral:rRNA from 1 species
AUAGGACUAAGCCAUGCGAGUCAACGUAGCAAUACGUGGCAUACGGCUCAGUAACACGUAGUCAACAUGCCCAGGGGACGUGGAUAACCUCGGGAAACUGAGGAUAAACCACGAUAGGUCAUAAUAUCUGGAAUGAUUUAUGGCUAAAAUCUACAUGGCCCCUGGAUUGGACUGCGGCCGAUCAGGCUGUUGGUGAGGUAAUGGCCCACCAAACCUAAAACCGGUACGGGCUCUGAGAGGAGAAGCCCGGAGAUGGGCACUGAGACAAGGGCCCAGGCCCUAUGGGGCGCAGCAGGCGCGAAAACUCUGCAAUAGGCGAAAGCUUGACAGGGUUAUUCUGAGUGAUUUCCGCUAAGGAAAUCUUUUGGCACCUCUAAAAAUGGUGCAGAAUAAGGGGUGGGCAAGCCUGGUGUCAGCCGCCGCGGUAAUACCAGCACCCCGA